UACGUAGGGUGCAAGCGUUGUCCGGAAUUAUUGGGCGUAAAGCGCGCGCAGGUGGUUUCUUAAGUCUGAUGUGAAAGCCCACGGCUCAACCGUGGAGGGUCAUUGGAAACUGGGGAACUUGAGUGCAGAAGAGGAAAGUGGAAUUCCAAGUGUAGCGGUGAAAUGCGUAGAGAUUUGGAGGAACACCAGUGGCGAAGGCGACUUUCUGGUCUGUAACUGACACUGAGGCGCGGAAGCGUGGGGAGCAAACAGG
rnacentral:rRNA from 1 species